rnacentral:rRNA from 1 species
UUCCAGACUCUUACGGGAGGCAGCAGUGGGGAAUAUUGCACAAUGGGGGAAACCCUGAUGCAGCGACGCCGCGUGAGUGAAGAAGUAUUUCGGUAUGUAAAGCUCUAUCAGCAGGGAAGAAAAUGACGGUACCUGAUUAAGAAGCCCCGGCUAACUACGUGCCAGCAGCCGCGGUAAUACGUAGGGGGCAAGCGUUAUCCGGAUUUACUGGGUGUAAAGGGAGCGUAGACGGUGAUGCAAGUCAGAAGUGAAAGCCCGGGGCUCAACUCCGGGACUGCUUUUGAAACUGUGUGACUGGAGUGCAGGAGAGGUAAGCGGAAUUCCUGGUGUAGCGGUGAAAUGCGUAGAUAUCAGGAGGAACACCAGUGGCGAAGGCGGCGUACUGGACUGUAACUGACGUUGAGGCUCGAAAGCGUGGGGAGCAAACAGGAUUAGAUACCCCUGUAACU